ensembl:lncRNA novel transcript
AUUGGACGGUGUCAUGGAAAUGUCAAAGAAAAAGUGACACCUGAGAGAAAAUUUGAAAGAUGAAAGCAGAUGCACUAAAGAGGCCAAUCAGUCAUCCAGACAAGAAUUUACCUCAUGAGAGUCAACUGUGCGCAUCUCUUCCCAACAUUGUGAUUGGUUAUGUCAUGUUGAUAGCUUGAAAUUGGACAUAGUAUGUACAUUUACACCCCAGAAAUCUCAGGUACUACAAACUAAACCUUCCCUUCUCUCAUUCCCCAGUGCUGUUAAUACGGAAACUGGUCUAAUAUGGAAAACAGGUGAACAUGGAGCUGCUUUGUUUGACUCAGGGAUGAGAGAUACCCAGGUCCUAAUUACUUGUCUUUAACUUUCCUUAGGGAGUACUAAUUUGGGAGUCAUUGUUCUAAACAAUUAAAGUGAAGUAACUGUC